ACAAAUGGAACAUUUAUCUUGAUCUUCUUCAGGCUGACUAUACCGAAGGAGAUGCUCUUGAUGCUUUGGGAUUAGUUCGAUAUUGCUGUAGGAGAAUGCUUAUGACUCAUGUUGACCUCAUUGAGAAGCUUCUGAAUUAUAACACGUUGGAGAAGUCAGAGACCAGUUGAGGAAACAUGUAGUACUUAAUGAUCUGUUGCGGUUUGUGUGAGUGCUUGAUUCUCAGAUUUGUGCAAGUGUACCAUGGUCUGAAUCCAGAAAAAUGGAAGGACUAGAAUAUUACUACUCUAGUUGUCUUCAGUUUUAGUUCUAUAAUGGAUCCCUGUAUGUAUGAAAACUAUGUGGGAUUUGAAAUGCUGAAA